rnacentral:rRNA from 1 species
UACGGAGGGUGCAAGCGUUAUCCGGAUUUACUGGGUUUAAAGGGUGCGCAGGCGGAUAUGUAAGUCAGUGGUGAAAUCUCCGGGCUUAACCCGGAAAUUGCCGUUGAUACUAUAUAUCUUGAAUGUUGUGGAGGUAAGCAGAAUAUGUCAUGUAGCGGUGAAAUGCUUAGAGAUGACAUAGAAUACCUAUUGCGAAGGCAGCUUACUACGCAGAUAUUGACGCUCAUGCACGAAAGCGUGGGAUCAAACAGG